GCCGUCCCCUCCCGUCCCGGCCCGACCUCCAGACUACCUACCGGACGGGACGAGGCGAGUGGGGAAGUAAGUUAGUCGCGAACUAGGGCGGAAAGGACCGUGACGCAGCGACGCCGCGUGAGGAGUGAAUGCUUCGGUUGUAACCGUCUUUCAGCAGGACGAAGCGCAAGUGACGGUACCUCGCCAGAAGAAGCGCCGGCUAACUACGUGCCAGCAGCCGCGGUAAUUC
rnacentral:rRNA from 1 species